AUCAGGCUGACUUCAGGGUCUCGGUCUGCGGCCUCCCUGGCCGUCGCUGCCUCCUUUUCCAGGUGCGCCUCGGCCCAGGGCUCCCAGCCACCACCUUGGGGCCGCAGAAGGCGAGCGGUCACACCGGGGCUGAGGUCAGGAGCCGGCUCACCCCCUCUCCUGCGACUGUUCCCUGACCUGCGACUGUUCGGUUCUCCCGACUGGCCUUGGUCGUUGCCUUUUAGGGUCUCGGUGUGACCAACUAAGCAGACACUCAGCGGCAGCGCCGCGCUUGGGGAGACUGCAGGGCAGAAAUGGGCCUAGAGGUGAAGGAGCCCUUCCCAAAUCGGACAGUCCCGGGGCUGGAGAGCCGGGAGCAACCCAGUUCCCUGAAGAAAUGAUUGCAGCUGCUCAGGCAAAACACGUAGGCCUGGAACCAACCCUGGGUGGGCGUUUAAGGGCUUGAGCCAGCUUCUGCCCCUCAAGACUCCCCAGGGAGCACGCGCCUGCGGGGAAGGACGUGGGCCGGGUGGAAGGUGGCCCGGAACCCCGGGAAGAACGCGGGCAGGGCACCAGGCAGGCAGCCGGGCCAGCGCCUCCAGCUCCCGCACCUUCGGCCCAGGGUCUCCAGCACUGGGAAGGCGACAGCGGCGACAGUGCACCGUCCCCCUUGCACGCACUGAGGAGCCUGUCUUGGAGCUGAGACCUCCUCGCCCCCUCCGAGCUUACUGAGCACCCGGCCGGCAGCCCCCCGACUCCCCAGGAUGCUGCCUUGACCCCACCUAAUCUGGUCACUCACCUCCUAACCUUUCAGGGUCCAAGAGGACCCGCGUCCUGCCCCACCUUGCUGGGUGCAGAGCCGGGUGCACGCGGGACCCGCACUCGCUCUGGGCGAACACGCAGCGCCCUUCCCGGCCUCAGGCCGAGCCGGACCGCAACGCCGCUAUUAGUAAGGACUAAAAACAAAAGUUCUCCCCGAAGCCCACCUUUCCCCAGUAAGAAGGUGUCAAGGGUUAAACCGUUCGAUUUGCCCUUUUUCUUGAUCUUAGAGGGAAGAGGCAAGAACUCCUGGCACCUUUAUGGGCCUCAGACCUGUGGCUGCUGCCAGCAGUCUCAGUCCCACUAACUUUGAUCAGCCUUAUUAAUUCCAGCUGUGCUCUAUUUGUUUGUCAUUUUCCCCUUUUCCUCUGGAAUCAUUAUUUAUAGCAGGAAAAAAAAAAGCCCACUGUUAGAAUGGAGGCAAGGAGGGAAUUUCUGAGAACGACUGGGUGAAUGUAUUUUUCCUUAAAGGUCACCAAAAAGGAGGAGAGGUGUAGGGGUGAGUCUUGACUCUUAUGAGCUCUUCUUUGAAUUUAUUACUCAAGAGCAUUAACUAAUUACCAGAUCAGAUAAAUGAAAAAAAAAUUCCCUAAAAUAACCCAAGGUAAUUAUAACCGUGCUGUUGACACUAACGAUUAAUAAUUGAUCAGGAGUCACACACAAUAAAUUGUCAAUUUAUCUCCCCAC
rnacentral:lncRNA from 1 species